rnacentral:rRNA from 1 species
AUUCCUACGGGACGCAGCAGUGAGGAAUAUUGGUCAAUGGGCGCAAGCCUGAACCAGCCAAGUCGCGUGAGGGAUGACGGUCCUAUGGAUUGUAAACCUCUUUUGUCGGGGAGCAAGGCCCGCCACGUGUGGCGGGAAGGAGAGUACCCGAAGAAAAAGCAUCGGCUAACUCCGUGCCAGCAGCCGCGGUAAUACGGAGGGUGCGAGCGUUAUCCGGAUUUAUUGGGGUUAGAGGGUGCGUAGGUGGAAGGUUA